AAGUCGUAACAAGGUUUCCGUAGGUGAACCUGCGGAAGGAUCAUUCAUAAUGAGUGUUUAUGGCACUCUUUCAAAAUCCAUAUCCACCUUGUGUGCAAUGUAAAAGAGGAAAAAAGAGAAUGAGAGCGGCUAGAGCUCUUUGAGUUUUGGCUUGUUUCUAUUUCUUUUUUUUUUCCUUCUUUUCUAAUACACCUUUCUAUUAAUCUAUUGUCUAAAGUCUAUUAUGAAUGAAAUAAUUCAAAAUACAACUUUCAACAACGGAUCUCUUGGCUCUC
rnacentral:misc_RNA from 1 species